rnacentral:miRNA from 1 species
GAAAUCCUUGAUCCUUGACCUGGU